UGGAACGCCAAUAUUCUUUUUCUGUCGUUAAGCCUGAGGAGAUGUCCUAUAGAGUAGGCCGAAAACGUUAGUUUUUCAAUAAAACUAUCUCGGCAAAAAAAGGUUGUGUCUGCAAUCGGUUUAAUUACUGUCAUUGCCAUUUGGUCUAUCUCCGAAUUUCAUCCGUCUUCAAAAUAUUUUUUUAUUGCGGUGUACGCUUCAUCUUUAACAUUCUGUUUAAUAUUCCUUCCAUUCAGUUUGCUUCUGGUGUAUGCCGUGAUUAAGAAAAAACGUUUGGCCUUAAUACCAUGGAUGAUUUGGUUGAUGAUUUCAAUGCUCUCUCAACUUGCCGCAAUUAUUGGCUUUUUUGUAUUGGAUAUGUUGUCUGGAGAGAUUUCGCUCCUUCUUGCUUGUGCGGCUGUACUUCUGGCUACGCUAGGAUUACAUAUUGUUUGUUUCCUUGUGGUAAUAACAUAUUAUCGAUCAUUGGAAGUGCCUCAACGAACUGAAGAA